rnacentral:rRNA from 1 species
UGCUUUUGAUGGGCGUCGACCGGCGCACGGGUGAGUAACGCGUAUCCAACCUGCCCACCACUUGGGGAUAACCUUGCGAAAGUAAGACUAAUACCCAAUGACGUCUCUAGAAGACAUCUGAAAGAGAUUAAAGAUUUAUCGGUGAUGGAUGGGGAUGCGUCUGAUUAGCUUGUUGGCGGGGUAACGGCCCACCAAGGCUACGAUCAGUAGGGGUUCUGAGAGGAAGGUCCCCCACAUUGGAACUGAGACACGGUCCAAACUUCUACGGGAGGCAGCAGUGAGGAAUAUUGGUCAAUGGACGAGAGUCUGAACCAGCCAAGUAGCGUGCAGGAUGACGGCCCUAUGGGUUGUAAACUGCUUUUAUAAGGGAAUAAAGUGAGUCUCGUGAGACUUUUUGCAUGUACCUUAUGAAUAAGGACCGGCUAAUUCCGUGCCAGCAGCCGCGGUAAUACGGAAGGUCCGGGCGUUAUCCGGAUUUAUUGGGUUUAAAGGGAGCGUAGGCCGGAGAUUAAGCGUGUUGUGAAAUGUAGAUGCUCAACAUCUGCACUGCAGCGCGAACUGGUUUCCUUGAGUACGCACAAAGUGGGCGGAAUUCGUGGUGUAGCGGUGAAAUGCUUAGAUAUCACGAAGAACUCCGAUUGCGAAGGCAGCUCACUGGAGCGCAACUGACGCUGAAGCUCGAAAGUGCGGGUAUCGAACAGGAUUAGAUACCCUGGUAGUCCGCACGGUAAACGAUGGAUGCCCGCUGUUGGUCUGAAUAGGUCAGCGGCCAAGCGAAAGCAUUAAGCAUCCCACCUGGGGAGUACGCCGGCAACGGUGAAA